rnacentral:lncRNA from 1 species
CCGAAAACGACCUCCGGCGGCACGAUUUUCUGCUGAAAAAUUGCAAAAAAUUUGCGAUAUUUUUUGCUAAUUCCAAACUUUGGGGACUAGUAGUACUGCUCAAGGGGGUCACAAAACUACAAAGAAAUAUUGUACAAAAUUUUUUCUGUUUUGUGACACCCGGGGGGGCAGGUACCUACCCAUAGCUUCCGACAUUUCGAAAGAACUUCCAAUCGUAGUCUGUUGCUUCGACCCGAUAGAAGCAACCAUCCCAUUUAUGGCUCCUUUUACUAAGGAUCAUAAAAAGAUAGCUCUUGCCAUUUCUACUGAGGUAGGAGCUUCUGGUAGGAGGGUUGGUUCCCGUACUAUGCCAACCUCCAAUAUACCACUUUCGACACAUGAGGUGCCCUCAUCACUACCAUCAAAUGGGGGGGUGAACCUAACUCCUGCGCUACAAGAGAGGUUGAUUAACUUUAUGGAUUCUAUGGAAAAAAGAGUUAGCAACCUCGAGAAAGCAA